rnacentral:rRNA from 1 species
UACCAGCACCCCGAGUGGUCGGGACGAUUAUUGGGCCUAAAGCAUCCGUAGCCGGUCCUGCAAGUCUUCCGUUAAAUCCAGCUGCUCAACAGAUGGGCUGCGGAGGAUACUACAGGGCUAGGAGGCGGGAGAGGCAAGCGGUACUUUAUGGGUAGGGGUAAAAUCCGUUGAUCCAUAGAAGACCACCAGUGGCGAAGGCGGCUUGCCAGAACGCGCUCGACGGUGAGGGAUGAAAGCUGGGGAGCAAACCGG